rnacentral:ncRNA from 1 species
CUGGUUGAUCCUGCCAGUAGUCACAUGCUUGUCUCAGAGAUUAGGCCAUGCAUGUCUAAGUACAUACCUUAAAAAGGUGAGACCGCGAAUCGCUCAUUAAAUCAGCUAUGAUUCCUUAGAUCGUAAAUGCUACAUGGAUAACUGUAGUGAUUCUAAAGCUAAUACAUGCCAUGAAUCCCUGACUCGCAAGGGGACGGGCGCAUUUAUUAGAACAGAACCAGUCGGGUGCGGCUUCGGCUGUGUCUGUUACAUUCUGUGAUGACUCUGGAUAACUUUACUGAUCGCAGUCGGCCUUGUGUUGGCGACGGAUCUUUCAAAUAUCUGCCCUACCAAUUUGUUGGUAGGUGAUAUGCCUACCAUGAUAAUAACGGGUAACAGGGAAUCAGGGUUCGAUUCCGGAGAGGGAGCCUGGGAAAUGGCCACCCCAUCCAAGGACGGCAUCAGGCGCGAAAAUUACCUACUCCUGGCAAGGGGAGGUAGCGACGAAAAAUACGUAUACGGGACUCAAUUGAGGCGCCGUAAUUCGAAUGAGUGCAAUUUAAGUCUUUUAACGAGGACCAAUUGGAGGGCAAGUCUGGUGCCAGCAGCCGCGAUAACUCCAGCUCCAAAAACGUAUAUUAAAGUUGCUGCAGUUAAAAAGCUCGUAGUUGGAUCUGGGUCGUGUGAUCGCAUGCCGUUGUUCGUUCACGGUUUUGAUUACAAUCAGGACCAGAGUUCAGCUCGGUGUAGUGGCUGUGCAGCCUUUCAGCCGUGUCUGUGUUAAACGGGUGUCGAGAGCGGACGGCAUCUUUACUUUGAACAAAUUUGAGUGCUCAAAGCAGGUCUGUGUGUCUGAAAAUUCUUACGUGGAAUGAUGAAACAGGACUUCGGUUCUAUUUUGUUGGUUUUCGGAUGCGAAGUAAUGGUUAAGAGGGACAGACGGGGGCAUUUGUAUGGCGGUGUUACGGGUGAAAUUGUGGGAUCGCCGCCAGACAAACAACAGCGAAAGCAUUUGCCAAAAAUAUUUUCAUUGAUCAGGAGCGAAAUUCAGAUUUUUGAAAACGAUCAGAUACCGUCGUAGUUCUGACCAUAAACGAUGCCAACUGACGAUCCGCGUUGGUUCUAUAAUUAACAUCGCAGGCAGUUCCUGGGAAACCUUUAAGUCUUUGGGCUCCG